UGGAUCGGAGACAGGUGNUGCAUGGCUGUCGUCAGCUCGUGUCGUGAGAUGUUGGGUUAAGUCCCGCAACGAGCGCAACCCUCNCCCUUAGUUGCCNGCAUUCAGUUGGGCACUCUAAGGGGACUGCCGGUGAUAAGCCGGAGGAAGGUGGGGAUGACGUCAAGUCCUCAUGGCCCUUACGGGCUGGGCUACACACGUGCUACAAUGGUGGUGACAGUGGGCAGCGAGACCGCGAGGUCGAGCUAAUCUCCAAAAGCCAUCUCAGUUCGGAUUGCACUCUGCAACUCGAGUGCAUGAAGUUGGAAUCGCUAGUAAUCGUGGAUCAGCAUGCCACGGUGAAUACGUUCCCGGGCCUUGUACACACCGCCCGUCACACCAUGGGAGUUGGUUUUACCUGAAGNUGCUGUGCUAACCGCAAGGAGGCAGGCAACCACGGUAGGGUCAGCGANUNGGGNGAAGUCGUAACAAGGUAGCCGUAA
rnacentral:rRNA from 1 species